CGGUGUUGCUGAAUGCCAGGACAAGCUAAACGAAUAAACUUCGAGUUUGGCAUUCGCGCACUGCUUGGCGUUGAGGUCAAACCGUGCGCGAAUGUCAAACUCGAAGUGUAUUCGCUUAGCUUGUCCUGGGAUUCCGUAGCAUCU
rnacentral:pre_miRNA from 1 species